GUGGUCGCUCAGUGGUUAAAGCUGUUUGACUACUGACCAGAAGGUCAUGAGUUCAAAUCUCAGGCUGCCACU